rnacentral:rRNA from 1 species
GGUUAAGCGACUAAGCGUACACGGUGGAUGCCCUGGCAGUCAGAGGCGAUGAAGGACGUGCUAAUCUGCGAUAAGCGUCGGUAAGGUGAUAUGAACCGUUAUAACCGGCGAUUUCCGAAUGGGGAAACCCAGUGUGAUUCGUCACACUAUCAUUAACUGAAUCCAUAGGUUAAUGAGGCGAACCGGGGGAACUGAAACAUCUAAGUACCCCGAGGAAAAGAAAUCAACCGAGAUUCCCCCAGUAGCGGCGAGCGAACGGGGAGCAGCCCAGAGCCUGAAUCAGUGUGUGUGUUAGUGGAAGCGUCUGGAAAGGCGCGCGAUACAGGGUGACAGCCCCGUACACAAAAAUGCACAUGCUGUGAGCUCGAUGAGUAGGGCGGGACACGUGGUAUCCUGUCUGAAUAUGGGGGGACCAUCCUCCAAGGCUAAAUACUCCUGACUGACCGAUAGUGAACCAGUACCGUGAGGGAAAGGCGAAAAGAACCCCGGCGAGGGGAGUGAAAAAGAACCUGAAACCGUGUACGUACAAGCAGUGGGAGCACAGAGCAAUCUGUGUGACUGCGUACCUUUUGUAUAAUGGGUCAGCGACUUAUAUUCUGUAGCAAGGUUAACCGAAUAGGGGAGCCGAAGGGAAACCGAGUCUUAACUGGGCGUUAAGUUGCAGGGUAUAGACCCGAAACCCGGUGAUCUAGCCAUGGGCAGGUUGAAGGUUGGGUAACACUAACUGGAGGACCGAACCGACUAAUGUUGAAAAAUUAGCGGAUGACUUGUGGCUGGGGGUGAAAGGCCAAUCAAACCGGGAGAUAGCUGGUUCUCCCCGAAAGCUAUUUAGGUAGCGCCUCGUGAAUUCAUCUCCGGGGGUAGAGCACUGUUUCGGCAAGGGGGUCAUCCCGACUUACCAACCCGAUGCAAACUGCGAAUACCGGAGAAUGUUAUCACGGGAGACACACGGCGGGUGCUAACGUCCGUCGUGAAGAGGGAAACAACCCAGACCGCCAGCUAAGGUCCCAAAGUCAUGGUUAAGUGGGAAACGAUGUGGGAAGGCCCAGACAGCCAGGAUGUUGGCUUAGAAGCAGCCAUCAUUUAAAGAAAGCGUAAUAGCUCACUGGUCGAGUCGGCCUGCGCGGAAGAUGUAACGGGGCUAAACCAUGCACCGAAGCUGCGGCAGCGACGCUUAUGCGUUGUUGGGUAGGGGAGCGUUCUGUAAGCCUGUGAAGGUGUGCUGUGAGGCAUGCUGGAGGUAUCAGAAGUGCGAAUGCUGACAUAAGUAACGAUAAAGCGGGUGAAAAGCCCGCUCGCCGGAAGACCAAGGGUUCCUGUCCAACGUUAAUCGGGGCAGGGUGAGUCGACCCCUAAGGCGAGGCCGAAAGGCGUAGUCGAUGGGAAACAGGUUAAUAUUCCUGUACUUGGUGUUACUGCGAAGGGGGGACGGAGAAGGCUAUGUUGGCCGGGCGACGGUUGUCCCGGUUUAAGCGUGUAGGCUGGUUUUCCAGGCAAAUCCGGAAAAUCAAGGCUGAGGCGUGAUGACGAGGCACUACGGUGCUGAAGCAACAAAUGCCCUGCUUCCAGGAAAAGCCUCUAAGCAUCAGGUAACAUCAAAUCGUACCCCAAACCGACACAGGUGGUCAGGUAGAGAAUACCAAGGCGCUUGAGAGAACUCGGGUGAAGGAACUAGGCAAAAUGGUGCCGUAACUUCGGGAGAAGGCACGCUGAUAUGUAGGUGAGGUCCCUCGCGGAUGGAGCUGAAAUCAGUCGAAGAUACCAGCUGGCUGCAACUGUUUAUUAAAAACACAGCACUGUGCAAACACGAAAGUGGACGUAUACGGUGUGACGCCUGCCCGGUGCCGGAAGGUUAAUUGAUGGGGUUAGCGGUAACGCGAAGCUCUUGAUCGAAGCCCCGGUAAACGGCGGCCGUAACUAUAACGGUCCUAAGGUAGCGAAAUUCCUUGUCGGGUAAGUUCCGACCUGCACGAAUGGCGUAAUGAUGGCCAGGCUGUCUCCACCCGAGACUCAGUGAAAUUGAACUCGCUGUGAAGAUGCAGUGUACCCGCGGCAAGACGGAAAGACCCCGUGAACCUUUACUAUAGCUUGACACUGAACAUUGAGCCUUGAUGUGUAGGAUAGGUGGGAGGCUUUGAAGUGUGGACGCCAGUCUGCAUGGAGCCGACCUUGAAAUACCACCCUUUAAUGUUUGAUGUUCUAACGUGGACCCGUAAUCCGGGUUGCGGACAGUGUCUGGUGGGUAGUUUGACUGGGGCGGUCUCCUCCUAAAGAGUAACGGAGGAGCACGAAGGUUGGCUAAUCCUGGUCGGACAUCAGGAGGUUAGUGCAAUGGCAUAAGCCAGCUUGACUGCGAGCGUGACGGCGCGAGCAGGUGCGAAAGCAGGUCAUAGUGAUCCGGUGGUUCUGAAUGGAAGGGCCAUCGCUCAACGGAUAAAAGGUACUCCGGGGAUAACAGGCUGAUACCGCCCAAGAGUUCAUAUCGACGGCGGUGUUUGGCACCUCGAUGUCGGCUCAUCACAUCCUGGGGCUGAAGUAGGUCCCAAGGGUAUGGCUGUUCGCCAUUUAAAGUGGUACGCGAGCUGGGUUUAGAACGUCGUGAGACAGUUCGGUCCCUAUCUGCCGUGGGCGCUGGAGAACUGAGGGGGGCUGCUCCUAGUACGAGAGGACCGGAGUGGACGCAUCACUGGUGUUCGGGUUGUCAUGCCAAUGGCACUGCCCGGUAGCUAAAUGCGGAAGAGAUAAGUGCUGAAAGCAUCUAAGCACGAAACUUGCCCCGAGAUGAGUUCUCCCUGACUCCUUGAGAGUCCUGAAGGAACGUUGAAGACGACGACGUUGAUAGGCCGGGUGUGUAAGCGCAGCGAUGCGUUGAGCUAACCGGUACUAAUGAACCGUGAGGCUUAACCUU